GUUAAAAAGCUCGUAGUUGGAUUUCUGGCGGGUACCCAAGUACCCCUGGUGGGUGUGCUCGGGCCCGGCCAUCCUUCUGUAAACUUUCGCGCGUCCUUCACCGGUCGGCAAAGGGAUCAGAUAAUUUACCUUGAGAAAAUUAGAGUGUUUCAGGCAGGCUUAGCCGGAAUACAUUAGCAUGGAAUAAUGGAAAAGGACUUCAACCUCUUCUGUUGGUCUGAGAGGAUGUAGUAAUGAUUAAUAGGGAUAGUUGGGGGCAUUAGUACUUAACUGUCAGAGGUGAAAUUCUCCGAUUUGUUAAAGACUAACUUAUGCGAAAGCAUUUGCCAAGGAUGUUUUCAUUAAUCAAGAACGAAAGUUAGGGGAUCAAAGACGAUCAGAUACCGUCCUAGUCUUAACCAUAAACUAUGCCGACUCGGGAUCGGGGGCACGCUAUAUCGGCCUUCGUCA
rnacentral:rRNA from 1 species